GGAACCCAAGCCAACCAGCUAUUCUAGCUCUGUCAGCAUCCUGGCUCAGCCUUUAUGCUAUUUUCAUGUAAGUGCUAGAUAUGUAGCUGAACCAUGUUGGACAGUCAGGCCUAACUGAGCUCCUGGCCAGCAUACCAGGGAACACAAGUGGUGUCCUGCUGAGCCCAUUGAAACCACAGAAUAGUGAGGGAAAAAGGACUGUUGUUUUAGACCACCCGGUUUUGUGGUGGUUUGUUAUGUAGCAAUAGAAAACCAAACACCACUUUCAAGGCCUUUCUCAAAAGCCACUCCUUUAGUAGGCGUGUCACUAUCCCACUACUGUCCCAUUCCACAGCUGGAAGUGGGAAUCACAUAGUUCCAUAGUGUAGUCAAACAGAAGAUAUUUAGCUUCCUGAGUGGAGCCUUCCAACUUGUCUUUGCCUCCCUAAAGUGUAUUUCAUAAAUUCAGCAUGUUUUAUAAUCAGUGGGCCUUUUUAGGUGAGACCAGCAAUUUAGGAAAAACUGUUAAGGGGUAGAAAAAUUUGUGGUAUACAAUUACCCCCAGCAGAUCAAAUGUGCUUCCUACAGAGAUAAAACUACUAUCCAGAGAGGGGAUCAUAGCUUUUGAUUUUGAAAGUUAGCCAGUUUACAGCUUAUCUACUAGAGACAGGGAUAACUACCAUAUUAAGGAAAUAUAGAGGUAUAACCCCAAGAGCAUGUAUAAAGAAAAACGUGGAGGGAGAUGAUAUGGUUUGGCUCUGUGUCCCCACCCAAAUCUCAUCUCAAAUUGUAAUCCUCAGGUGUUGAGGGAGGCACCUAGUGGGAAGUGAUUGGACUAUGGGGGCGGUUUCCCCCAUGCUGUUCUCAUGAUAGUGAGUGAAUUCUUACAUCUGGUGGUUCUAAAAAGUGUUUAGCAGUUUCCCCCACACUCUUCUGUCUCUCUCCCGACACCAUGUAAGAUGUGCCUUGCUUCCCCUUUACCUUUCGCCAUGAGUGUAAGUUUCCUGAGGCCUCCUCAGCCAUGCAGAAGUGUGAGUCAAUUAAAUCUCUUUUCUUCAUCAAUUACCUGGUCUCAUGUAGUAUCUUUAUAGCAGUGUGAGAAUGGACUGAUACAGAGGACAUGACAUUCGAACUUCUUGGUUUAUAGUGCAGGCUUUUCACUAAAUUGUUACCCAUGACCAUACUUUCUGCCUGUUUUAAAAGCCAAUAAAAUACAAGUCUUCUUUAGUGAUGAGCAGUUGAUUUUAUUCUGGAAGCCUGGAACUCCUCGCUGUGUCAGCAUCACCGACCAGCAGAGGGCGGUGCAGAUGCAGAGGCACACAUCUCCCUGCAAGUGAGAAACGCUGUGAGGAGUGUAAUUUGCUGGCAGCGCCCAGGGGCUGCCCACGUGGGAUGGCACUUGGGCCAAGUCUGUACUCUCCCCAUGCUUCCUCUAGGGGACUGAAGGGGUCUUUCUUAGAAAGAUCUUGCAGCUAAAACUUGAAGAAUGAACAGAACUUACACAGACUAAGAGAGAUAGCAAAAUGUUCUAGCAAAGGAAUUAUUCAUAAGCCAGACUACAAGCAGAAUGUCACUCCUCUCCCUUGGUUACCAAGGAACUGUGCUCCUAGCGGAUCCACCUCCUUUCCACGAAUGGUCCUAAAUGUGACCUCACCUUGAAUCUGAAAAUGCUGCUUCUGGUUGAUGGGCCCUGUAAAUCCUCUGGGUUCUUACCCAGGUCUAGGAUGAAGAAGCUACUGGAUUUGGAAGUGGGUGGUACAGGAAGUGGUUCAUUGCCAUGUGGGACCUGCGCUCCUGGCCAUUCUGCAGGUAGCACAAUGGUUACAAGUGCAGCCCUGGAGUCAGACUGUGGGGUUUGAAUCCUGGCUUUGCUACUCACUU
rnacentral:lncRNA from 10 species